rnacentral:pre_miRNA from 1 species
CCUAUUUAUAUGGUAACCGGCGGUUGAGUUAACCGACGGUUGAGAUUUAACCGGCGGUUCAGAUUUAACCGGCGGUUAAAUCUGAACCGCCGGUUAAAAACUCAACCGCCGGUUACGGCGGUUAAAUCUGAACCGCCGGUUAAAUCUCAACCGUCGGUUAACUCAACCGCCGGUUACCAUAUCUAUAUAAAUAGG